AUUGAACGCUGGCGGAAUGCUUUACACAUGCAAGUCGAGCGGCAGCACGGGGGCAACCCUGGUGGCGAGCGGCGAACGGGUGAGCAAUACAUCGGAACAUGCCCAGUCGGGGGGGAUAACACUUCGAAAGAAGUGCUAAUACCGCAUACGUCCUGAGGGAGAAAGCGGGGGAUCUUCGGACCUCGCGCGAUUGGAGUGGCCGAUGUCAGAUUAGCUAGUUGGUGGGGUAAAGGCCUACCAAGGCAACGAUCUGGAGCUGGUCUGAGAGGAUGAUGAGCCACACUGGGAAUGAGACACGGUCCAGAAUCCUACGGGAGGCAGGAGUGGGGAAUAUUGCGCAAUGGGCGAAAGCCUGACGCAGCAACGCCGCGUGAGUGAUGAAGGCCUUCGGGUUGUAAAGCUCUUUCGGCUGGGAAGAAGGGAAUUAGGGUUAAUAGCCUUAGUUCUUGAUGGUACCAGAAGAAGAAGCACCGGCUAACUUCGUGCCAGCCGCCGCAGUAAAAC
rnacentral:rRNA from 1 species